rnacentral:rRNA from 1 species
ACCGUCGACAGUCAGGUAACGAGCGAGACCCCUGCGUCUAGUUGCUACCAUUACUCUCUGGAGCAGUGGAGCGAAUUAGACGGACCGCCACAGUUAAUGUGGAGGAAGGAAGGGGCCACGGCAGGUCAGUAUGCCCCGAAACCCUAGGGCUACACGCGGGCUGCAAUGGUAUUGACAAUGUGUUCCGAAUCCGAAAGGAGGAGGCAAUCAUCAAACAAUAUCUCAGUUAUGACUGAGGGCUGUAACUCGCCCUCACGAAUAUGGAAUCCCUAGUAACCGCGCGUCACUACCGCGCGGUGAAUGCGUCCCUGCUCCUUGCACGAAUUCGCCG